rnacentral:rRNA from 1 species
GACGAACGCUGGCGGCGUGCCUAAUACAUGCAAGUAGGACGCAGUUGCGAACGGGUGAGUAACGCGUAGGUAACUACCUAUUAGAGGGGGAUAACUAUUGGAAACGAUAGCUAAUACCGAAUACUAGUAGAUGGACCUGCGUUGUAUUAGAUAGUAGGUAGGGUAAUGGCAUACCUAGGCAACGAGACAUAGCCGACCUGGGAGGGUGAUAGGCUAAGCUGGGACUGAGAGACGUCCCAGACUCCGACGGGAGGCAGCAGUAGGGAAUCUGCGGCAAUGUGGGGAACCCUGACCGGGCAACGCCGCGGGAGUGAAGAAGGUUUUCGGAUCGUAAAGCGCUGUUGUUAAGGAAGCGGUACUUAACCAGAAAGGGACGGCUAACUACGUGCCAGCAGCCGCGGUAAUUC